rnacentral:SRP_RNA from 1 species
GGAGGGGACCCACGCAAAGGAAAGUUGUGAACCUGGUCAGGCCGGAAGGAGCAGCCAUAAGCAACGGACCUUGUGCAGUGGAUCAGCCUCUCUCGG